CUCAUAGAGAUGAUAUGGGAUACUUAAGUACAGUUUCAACAAGGGCCACAAAAGCAUCUAAUAGAUUGGUAAAUUACAGACAAACAUACUCACCCAUUGUUUCAUUUGAUCUAUUUUACAAGACUGAAGCAGGGAGCUUUCACAGUUCUAAAGCAGGAAAGAUUUAUUAUCCAAGAACUCUCACCCUAAGGCAGAAUACCUUUUUAUGGCCCUUCAUUCAGAGUAGGCCAGGAGUUCAGCCUACGAAAGUGCACAGGCGGGAUUUUACAUAUUAAGUUCCUGAUUUAAGAUUAAUAUCACGAUUCAGCAUCCAUGACUUCAGGACCAGGCCAGCAGGGAGCUGUGUGGCAAAAUUAAAAUAGGGACGGGUGUGACAAGGAUAUCCAAAAAGUAAGAGCAUUUAAUGGCAAGCAAAAAUAUCAAAAGGGAGAAAAAGCCAUACACAGGGAUGAUCCUUGAAGACAGAAC
rnacentral:lncRNA from 1 species